rnacentral:rRNA from 1 species
CCUACGGGUGGCAGCAGUGGGGGAUAUUGCACAAUGGGGGAAACCCUGAUGCAGCGACGCCGCGUGGGUGAAGAAGCGCCUCGGUACGUAAAGCUCUAUCAGCAGGGAAGAAAAACCUGCCUUAGGGCCGCCAGACGGUACCUGACUAAGAACCCCCAGCUAACUACGUGCCAGCAGCCGCGGUAAUACGUAGGGGGCAAGCGUUAUCCGGAUGUACUGGGUGUAAAGGGAGCGUAGACGGCAGCGCAAGUCUGGAGUGAAAUGCCGGGGCCCAACCCCGGAACUGCUUUGGAAACUGUGGAGCUGGAGUGCAGGAGAGGUAAGCGGAAUUCCUAGUGUAGCGGUGAAAUGUGUAGAUAUUAGGAGGAACACCAGUGGCGAAGGCGGCUUACUGGACUGUAACUGACGUUGAGGCUCGAAAGCGUGGGGAGCAAACAGGAUUAGAUACCCUUGUAGUC